ensembl:lncRNA
UUUAUUUUACUUUGCAUUUUAUUUUAUAUUUUAUUUUAUAUUUAUUGUGGUUUUGUUAUUUUCCUGCAUCAUACUGUAUUGUUAAAGCAUAUUUUGGUUAUGUAAAAAAUGCUAUGCAAAUUAUAUAUAUAUAUAUAUAUAUGUAUGUGUGUAUACUGUAUAUACUGUAUACAUAAUAUAUAUUUAUUUAUUUUUAUAUUUAUUAUCAUCAUCAUCUUUAUUUCAUUUCAUUUUAUUUUUAAUAGUGCACUAAAAUACAAAAGUGGCAGUUUGUGGAUUCCUUACCAAUGUAUAAAUGAUUGUCUGUUUUAGGAGAAACAUCUGAGCCUACAUUGAUAAUUGAAUAACUGAGAUCUCCAUCAAGUCUACUGAGGUAAAUGUGACGGUACGUGACAUUGUUUACAAGCUGUUAUGUUGACAUCUUUGCAUGGUUAAAACACUGAUUGAUCGAUUACAUGAGACGGGAUACAGAUUUUGCAGCAGGUCAAACGCAGGGUCGUCCCGUGGCACCAAGCAUCCCGAAGCACUGGCUGGAGAUCUCAGAGCCGUCACUCCUCAGGGAGUUCAGGUUGCAGCGCAUACCGGCCUGACAGGAGAGGAGAGGAGGAGAAGGGUGAGAGGAGAUCUCCUUUGGGACCAAUCACACGCUUUCUCUUCCUCUCCAGCUCCCGCUCUUCUCCUCAACCCUCAGGGGUGAUCCUGGGAUCAAGAUGAGCAAUUGAGUAGUUUGAACCUUCACCAGGAAUGAUUAUUUUAUUUUAUUUUAUUUUAUUUAUUUAUUUUUCUUUUCUUUUAUUAUUUUUAUUUUAGGUAAAUACAUGUAUUUAUUUUAUUUUUAUUUGUUUAGUAAUUGUGUAGUUGGACACCAGCAAGUCUGAACUGAAAAGGGUUUUUAGAAAACUAACAGAAAGCGGUGGUUUGGUUUAUUCAGUUUAUAAUUGGUCUGAAAGCAGUGUAGACUGUCCUGCACGAGUGAGCAGUUAUUUAUUAUUUAUAUUUGACCUUUUCUAGUAUGAUGCAUUUCUUAUUGCUGCUUAUCUCCACAGAAAUGGCCUUUGUUGUCUGUGUUCUAGACACAGUGGUAAACAGCUAUUAAUAGUACUCACAGUGCUACUCAAAUUAUAGUUAUAAAAGAUGUCUGAUGGGGCUGAUCAGACAUUUAUUUUAUUUUAUUUUAUUUUAUUUUAUUUUAUUUAUUUUAUUUUAUUUUUCAUGUUGUUAAAUUAAAUUAACUUGAAUUACAUUUAAUUAAAU